CCCUUAGACGUUCUGGGCCGCACGCGCGCUACACUGACCAGUGCAACAAGCAUCCGUCCUUGGCCGACAGGCCCGGGCAAUCUUUGAACGCUGGUCGUGAUGGGGAUAGACUAUUGCAAUUAUUAAUCUUCAACGAGGAAUGCCUAGUAAGCGCAAGUCAUCAGCUUGCGUUGAUUACGUCCCUGCCCUUUGUACACACCGCCCGUCGCUCCUACCGAUUGAAUGGUCCGGUGAAGCGUUCGGACCGUGGCCUUUGGACGGUUCGCCGUCUGUUGGCUGCGGGAAGUUCGUUAAACCUUAUCAUUUAGAGGAAGGAGAANUCGUAACA
rnacentral:rRNA from 1 species